GACGUAGGGGGCCAGCGUUGCUCGGAAUUACUGGGCGUAAAGGGUGCGUAGGCGGGUCUUUAAGUCAGGGGUGAAAUCCUGGAGCUCAACUCCAGAACUGCCUUUGAUACUGAAGAUCUUGAGUUCGGGAGAGGUGAGUGGAACUGCGAGUGUAGAGGUGAAAUUCGUAGAUAUUCGCAAGAACACCAGUGGCGAAGGCGGCAUCCUGGACCGAUACUGACGCUGAGGAGCGAAAGCCAGGGGAGCAAACGGG
rnacentral:rRNA from 1 species